rnacentral:pre_miRNA from 1 species
UACAUACUACCUCCGUCCGGAAAUACUUGUCCUAGAAAUGAAUGUAUCUAGACUUAUUUUAAUUAUAGAUAUAUCCAUUAUAUGCAUUUUUAGGACAAGUAUUUCCGGACGGAGGGAGUAUAAA